rnacentral:rRNA from 14 species
UUUAAAGAAAGCGUAACAGCUCACUGGUCUAAAUAAGGGUUCCUGCGGCGAAGAUGUAACGGGGCUAAAGAUAUGCACCGAAGCUUAGGGUUCAGAAUUUAUUCUGAGCGGUAGCGGAGCGUUCCGUAAGCGAGCGAAGGAGAAGGGUAACCGACUCUGGACGUAUCGGAAGUGCGAAUGCUGACAUGAGUAGCGACAAAGAGGGUGAGAUGCCCUCUCGCCGAAAGACCAAGGGUUCCUGCGCAACGCUAAUCGGCGCAGGGUUAGCCGGCCCCUAAGACGAGCCCGAAGGGGGUAGUCGAUGGGAACCACGUAAAUAUUCGUGGGCCUGAAGAUGUGUGACGGAUCGUGGAAGUUGUUUUCUCUUAUUGGAUUGAGAGGGCAGCCAAGCGGUUCCAGGAAAUAGCCUCUUCAUAUAGACCGUACCCGAAACCGACACAGGUGGUCAGGUAGAGAAUACUAAGGCGAUCGAGAGAAUCAUGGUUAAGGAACUCGGCAAAAUGCCCCCGUAACUUCGGGAGAAGGGGGGCCCCAACCUUGAGCACCACGUGCUGGUGUGAGGGGAUCGGGGCCGCAGAGACCAGGGGGAAGCGACUGUUUAUCAAAAACACAGGUCCAUGCGAAGUCGUAAGACGAUGUAUAUGGACUGACUCCUGCCCGGUGCUGGAAGGUUAAGAGGACCUGUUAGACCCUUUGGGGUCGAAGCGGAGAAUUUAAGCCCCAGUAAACGGCGGUGGUAACUAUAACCAUCCUAAGGUAGCGAAAUUCCUUGU